CCCUUAGAUGUUCUGGGCUGCACGCGCGCUACACUGAUGCGCUCAACGAGUUUACGACCUUGCCCGGAAGGGUUGGGUAAUCUUUUUAAAACGCAUCGUGAUGGGGAUAGAUUAUUGCAAUUAUUAAUCUUUAACGAGGAAUUCCUAGUAAGCGCGAGUCAUCAGCUCGUGCUGAUUACGUCCCUGCCCUUUGUACACACCGCCCGUCGCUACUACCGAUUGAAUGAUUUAGUGAGUACCAGGGACCGAGCGCUUUGGUUGGGUUUCCUUCCCUAGCGCUUGGGAACUGUCGCAAACUUGACCAUUUAGAGGAAGUAAAAGUCGUAACA
rnacentral:rRNA from 1 species